rnacentral:rRNA from 1 species
UACGGAGGGUGCGAGCGUUGUCCGGAAUCACUGGGCGUAAAGGGCGCGUAGGCGGCGGGGUAAGUCGGGUGUGAAAUCUCAGGGCUCAACCCUGAAACUGCACUUGAUACUGCUCUGCUUGAGGACUGGAGAGGAGACUGGAAUUCACGGUGUAGCAGUGAAAUGCGCAGAUAUCAGGAGGAACACCGAUGCGAAGGCAGGUCUCUGGGCCACUACUGACGCUGGAGGCGCGGAAGCGUGGGGAGCAAACAGG